rnacentral:rRNA from 1 species
AUUCGUCGACAACAGAGUUUGAUCCUGGCUCAGGACGAACGCUGGCGGCGUGCUUAACACAUGCAAGUCGAACGCUGAAGCUCCAGCUUGCUGGGGUGGAUGAGUGGCGAACGGGUGAGUAAUACGUGAGUAACCUGCCCUUGACUCUGGGAUAAGCCUGGGAAACCGGGUCUAAUACUGGAUACGACGUCCUACCGCAUGGUGGGGCGUGGAAAGGGUUUUACUGGUUUUGGAUGGGCUCACGGCCUAUCAGCUUGUUGGUGGGGUAAUGGCCUACCAAGGCGACGACGGGUAGCCGGCCUGAGAGGGUGACCGGCCACACUGGGACUGAGACACGGCCCAGACUCCUACGGGAGGCAGCAGUGGGGAAUAUUGCACAAUGGGCGGAAGCCUGAUGCAGCGACGCCGCGUGAGGGAUGACGGCCUUCGGGUUGUAAACCUCUUUCAGCAGGGAAGAAGCCACAAGUGACGGUACCUGCAGAAGAAGCGCCGGCUAACUACGUGCCAGCAGCCGCGGUAAUACGUAGGGCGCAAGCGUUGUCCGGAAUUAUUGGGCGUAAAGAGCUCGUAGGCGGUUUGUCGCGUCUGCUGUGAAAGCCCGGGGCUCAACCCCGGGUCUGCAGUGGGUACGGGCAGACUAGAGUGCAGUAGGGGAGACUGGAA